AGAAGGGAGAAAGCUUAAGGGGAAGGGUGUGAAGCAUGGUCAGCACAUCCAUUGAACAGACAAAGCCACAGUCUCAACAGGAAAGAGAUUUGCUAAUCACUGAGACCCUGUGGGAGCAGGUGCUAAUGGCCUUUAAAGGAAUACAAAAGGAGCUUCAGGAAGAUGCUCGGAUUCGAGGCAUGAGUACCCGUUCUAUGGCACUCGUCCCACCUGUCCCCCCCAAGACUGGGCAUGUCCCUGCCUAAACCAAGAAGUGGAAAAGAAGCUUCAAGCCUCCAGAUCUCUCUACACACAUCCCCAAAUAAGAAUCACAGCUCAAAUUCUGGAGAGAAGUCAUCGGAAGCCCAUUCCUACCCCGCAAGGAUGCAACCCCGUGACCAGCCAGCCUUCUACCCUAGACUUUAAACUUUGUCAUCAAGGAAUGUCUCCUGUGUUUCUUCCAGGGCCCAGCUCAGUCGCCUGAUACUCAAAGGCAGUGAGACAGACACCAUCAUUGACAGAAUCUACCAGCAUCGACUGUGAACUUGGACAUCACUUGAGAGCCAGGCACAUCCUAACUGCCAAGCAAAGAAUCCAGCAGAUAAACAAUGGAGGAAAUAAAUGUGAUGUAAAACAA
rnacentral:lncRNA from 1 species